UUGGCUGGUACUUUAUCUCCAGCGACUUUAUCUCCAUCCAAGGCUUAGUAAAUAGACUCCAUAGAAACAUGUCACACUGCAGCACCUGGCUCAUGUCCCUGCAGUGCCAUUUCAAGGUGCGGGUGAGCCGUGCAAUCGCACAGGGUGCCUCGUCCACUGCCUCCACACAGGACACACCCCUUAACCAGCAGCACAUCACCCAGCUGGUGGCCCACGUCAUCCAUUCUGCUGCUGCUGCUGGGACAGUCGCUUGGCUCCCAUCUUGGAGACACUGCUGCGGGCUGCUGUGAGGGCAAGGAGCCAGACACCCAGGACCCGAGAAGAAUAGGAACAUUGAUUUGUAAGCGGAAUUUAAAAAGAAUCGAAAUAUUGCAACAUGAAGUAAAAUAUCCCGGAGUCUACUGCCGAGAAAUCACACAGGCUGCAGAAACAUAAAGGAUAUACAAGUGCUUCAGAAUAGCCCUUAACAGACUGAUUGGUGAAAGACUUUGUGGAACUGAAGAGUGAAAACAGUGUAUGCGACAGUCAGCAGCCGUUUGAUGGCGUGGAUGUGGACGGGUUCAGAAAACAGAGGCGUCCCGAAGCCAGUAGCUGCACUCUCGGACACAGCUUUUCCUGCCCUGGCUGUGCAGUUUUGGAGGACAUCCUGAGUAACCGAUGGUCACGCAGAAGAUCUGAUGCUGCAUCUCUGGAAUGCAGCAAGCGCAUCACAAAAGCCUGCAUUGUGCGAUUUUUCUUUUUUUUUUAAGAAUGACUCCUUUUGCUUUUGCAUAUUUUUUGCAAAUUUUAACACAGCAGCUGAAUCAGGUUCAUCUUCCAAGUUCCAAUAAAUAC